UUGAUCCUGGGCUCAGAUUGAACGCUGGGCGGCCAGGCCUAACACAUGCAAGUCGAAACGGUAGCACAGAGAGCUUGCUCUCGGGUGACGAGUGGCGGACGGGUGAGUAAUGUCUGGGAAACUGCCUGAUGGAGGGGGAUAACUACUGGAAACGGUAGCUAAUACCGCAUAACGUCGCAAGACCAAAGAGGGGGACCUUCGGGCCUCUUGCCAUCAGAUGUGCCCAGAUGGGAUUAGCUAGUAGGUGGGGUAACGGCUCACCUAGGCGACGAUCCCUAGCUGGUCUGAGAGGAUGACCAGCCACACUGGAACUGAGACACGGUCCAGACUCCUACGGGAGGCAGCAGUGGGGAAUAUUGCACAAUGGGCGCAAGCCUGAUGCAGCCAUGCCGCGUGUAUGAAGAAGGCCUUCGGGUUGUAAAGUACUUUCAGCGGGGAGGAAGGUGAUGAGGUUAAUAACCUCAGCAAUUGACGUUACCCGCAGAAGAAGCACCGGCUAACUCCGUGCCAGCAGCCGCGGUAAUACGGAGGGUGCAAGCGUUAAUCGGAAUUACUGGGCGUAAAGCGCACGCAGGCGGUCUGUCAAGUCGGAUGUGAAAUCCCCGGGCUCAACCUGGGAACUGCAUUCGAAACUG
rnacentral:rRNA from 1 species